rnacentral:tRNA from 1 species
GGGGAUUUAGCUCAGCGGCAUAAGCGCCUGCCUUGGAAGCAGGCAGUCAUGAAUGAGUUCGAUCCCCA